UUAUAAAUGCCCCUCUUUGC
rnacentral:piRNA from 1 species